UUUUUAACUGUGCAGCCGUGUGCUUUUGUUGCCCCGGGGCUUCUUCGUCAUGAACCCCCAUCGUGCCAAUGCAGUGGUCUCAUUAAAAUAUAUGAGGAAACUGGUGUUUUUCGCCCCAGUGUUGUCAGUGUGAAAGGAGCCCCGAGGCUGUGGAAACCAGUAAUGCUUGGACUGGCCUCAUCCAGGUGUGGUUUGAUAUGCAGAGGAAACUGCAAGACCCUGUAUCUUCCUACCUUGCAGGAAUGUUAUCUAAUCUGACAUUUACUCAGGAACACAGAUCUCCUCACCGAGCUCAGGCAGUUUGCUGGCAGUAGUUCAGUUGUUGUUUUUUUAGAUAUUUUUAAUGCAGUAUUUUUCCAGUCUUCUUAGUGACUGAUUAGGGCUAAGAUAUUUCAUCACAGCUUUUUUUUUUUUUUUUUUAGCUAAAAUAGCUUUCUCGCCUUUGAAUGUGCAGCCCACAUGUACAAAGAGGUUUUUUUUUUUUAGACUCUAUCUGGCUCCUCACACCUUUACCAAAGCGGCAGCUUCAGCUUCUUUCAAGGUGCUGGACAUAAAAGCCAUGUGCUAAGUGGAUGUCUGGGUGAUUGCAGCUAACUAACAAGAAGCAGCAGCAACCAGCAGCCUUGGGCUCUCCCACUGGCAAAGACCCACUGACUGCAGCCUCAGGGAUAUUUUAUUCACUUGGUCACUUUGAAAUGUGCACACUUGAUCCUUUAAAGCCUAUAUAUGGCUACGCUUUUUGUACUUGCUAUUUUAGAGCAUCUCACUUUGUUAGAUUGUUGUACAUAUUCAUACAUCACAUACAGUAUAGCAGCCUACUGAACAAUUGAUUUAAAGUGAAGUCGUUUUAAUGGAAAUUCUUGCAUGUUCUUAGAUUGCAGCCAAAAGUGUAGGUGAUUUACGUGCCCUGACAGUUACCGUACGUGUCUGUUGGGUCACAUGAUAGCUGCGCAUAAAAGGUAACCUAUUUUUCCUAAUAUCAUUUGUCUUGUGAUUGAAAUAUCAACAGCCCAAGGUAGGAUUCUUCCCUGGGUUUGCUUUGAUUGGCACAAAUGAGAGGAAAUGUAGACAAUACAGGGGCAAGUGGAGGCAUAUGGACUGAAACAGACUCAGAGAUUAGUCAUGAGAACUUACCAUUCACUUUCGCUCCUCUCCCCACACAAAACUCAAACAUGCUGUAAGUGCAACGUGAAAUGGAGAGGCUGUAAAUCAUAUACAAAUAGUUUCUGUUGUUUUACAGACAGGAAGAAUUACAUCAAUAUCGACUCUGUCACAGAGAAAUCUUGGCUUUCUUUUUUCUUUUUCUUUUUACACGGUUUAAGUAAACUGGCACAAAGGGAGGUGUGUGACAGUGUUAUUGUCUCUUUUUAAAUCAAAGAGAUAUAUUAGGAUGAGGUUAAAUAUGUGGUGACUCCUACCUGAGCUUUAAUUAAAGUUACUGGUAAGAGGACCAGUCUGCAUGUUGAGGCAUUGAAGAUAAACGUCAACGUGGCCUGAGGGAACUAUGACUCACGGAUGUUCUUUUGGCACUGGUUUUAGGAUCUUCUUUCUUUCUUUCUUUUCUAAGAAGAGGGUCUGAGUCUCCUCUUGUUUCGCAGCUUUUCGGUAUAACUACGGUGUGUAAGGUGCUUCCACGAGGAGCUGUCAGUAAAACAUCAAGAGCACAUCAUCAUUCUAAGCACCUGACCCAACACCAGAUAUAUUUCUUC
ensembl:lncRNA